UAUGGAUCCGUUUGUGUCGUCCAAGCUCAUCACAGCGGAAGAACUUCCACGUUCCAGUCACAUGCGAAGGGCUUCACACUUGAACUUGCGACUGGCAUCACGUGGGAUCCCCUCCCAAUCGAUCGCUGACAAUAAUUCUGGGAAGGUAUAGGGGCCAGCUGGGAGGAGCACCUCACACCAUGCUCAGGCAGCGACCUAAUGAGCUGUGAUUCCCAUUCUCUCUCAUUGCAUCUGAGCUCCUCAGCUGAUGCCAUAGAGGACCUCAUCAUCUCUGGACAUUUUGAAGAAGCUAGUCAACUCUUAAAAAUGGCCGAUUUACCGUCUUAGAGGUUUCUUUACUCCACAGUAAUUUAUUGCACACAACGAUGAUGUAUAAUAUAUCUGGCUUAUUAAGCAUGAACAAGCCAUGUUUCAGGACUAUUAUGGAUAUACAAAAUUCUUAAGGAAAAUGGCAUUUGGAGUUCAAGAUAUGAGAACUGGGUGUCAUCUGCUAUGCUCCAUCUGCAACAACGUGAGUAGCAGCUAUGAAGCCAACUGGGAAAGAGAUGAGCAGACUGUCAGAACUUUCAUCUUUAAUAUUUAUCACCAGAUGUACAUGUAAAAACACCUGUUUCUGGACACAUUUGUUGUAUGAGUCACGGUGUAGUCAUGGCUCCCAUGAGCCUUUGCAAACUAAAGCUGAAAUGAUAAC
rnacentral:lncRNA from 1 species